rnacentral:rRNA from 1 species
AUACGGAGGGUGCAAGCGUUAUUCGGAAUCACUGGGCGUAAAGGACGCGUAGGCGGGUUGGCAAGUCAGAUGUGAAAUCCUACAGCUUAACUGUAGAACUGCAUUUGAAACUGCUAACCUAGAGUAUGGGAGGGGGAGAUGGAAUUAGGGGUGUAGGGGUAAAAUCCGUAGAUAUCACUAGGAAUACCGAAAGCGAAGGCGAUCUCCUGGAACAUAACUGACGCUAAGGCGUGAAAGCGUGGGGAGCAAACAGGAUUAGAUACCCGUGUAGUCC